rnacentral:tRNA from 1 species
GGCCGAGUGGUUCAGGCAAGGGCCUGCAAAGCCCUGUACACGGGUUCGAUUCCCGUC